rnacentral:misc_RNA from 1 species
GAUGAAGAACGUAGCGAAAUGCGAUAAGUAAUGUGAAUUGCAGAAUUCAGUGAAUCAUCGAAUCUUUGAACGCACAUUGCGCCCGCCAGUAUUCUGGCGGGCAUGCCUGUUCGAGCGUCAUUACAACCCUCAGGCCCCCGGGCCUGGCGUUGGGGAUCGGCGGAAGCCCCCUGCGGGCACAACGCCGUCCCCCAAAUACAGUGGCGGUCCCGCCGCAGCUUCCAUUGCGUAGUAGCUAACACCUCGCAACUGGAGAGCGGCGCGGCCACGCCGUAAAACACCCAACUUCUGAAUGUUGACCUCGAAUCAGGUAGGAAUACCCGCUGAACUUAAGCAUAUCAAUAAGCGGAG